CUGCAUGAAGUUGGAAUCACUAGUAAUCGCGGAUCAGCAUGCCGCGGUGAAUGCGUUCUCGGGCCUUGUACACACCGCCCGUCACACCAUGAGAGUCGGGAACACCCGAAGUCCGUAGUCUAACCGCAAGGGGGGCGCGGCCGAAGGUAGGAUUGGCGACUGGGGUGAAGUCGUAACAAGGUAGC
rnacentral:rRNA from 1 species